rnacentral:lncRNA from 1 species
GCAAAUGCUGACAUCCAUUUCCAAAAGAGUUGUUUUUUUGUGCUUUUUCUAAGGUUACAAAGGUUUUUGUGGUUUAAAUGUUGUUACAUAUUUUACAGCAUUAGGAUCUAUGGAAUAUUUUGACAACUGCAACAGUUCAAUGAAGUUGGUAAUUUCUUCUUUUAAUUAUUUUUCAUUGAACAGCUUUGGAGUUACAUUUCUACAUUUUGAUUUCUGGUAUAUUAUAAGGAAAGAAAAAAUUAUGUCAAAGGAUACUUUAGAGAAAAUACAUAGAUAGUGAUUACAAUAUGGCUGUAAUUAAAUUAUCCUUAAUCUUGUUGAAGUUUUGUUAGUGCCUAAUUUUGAUGAAAUAGUAUGGUGUUCCUUCCAGCUACUGAUUGUAUAUAUGUGAUUGCACAUCUUUCUUAAAAAAGUGGAUUUGUAGGUUUUCACAUAUUGUCAGCCACACUCUAAUCCUCUUGUAAAGAAUGAACCUGGCUUUAUUCAAUUAAAUAAUUCUCUGGUACAGGUUUUCCUCCCAUAAUAUUUUAAAGUACAAUGUUUUGGGUUUUUUGAGGGUAAAGUAAAAGAAAAUAUGUUUUAAAAACUUUAGUUGUCAAAUUAUUUUAUUUUAAGCCUAUUUUAGAAAUUAGAGAUGUAUUGUUUCUUUUGGGUGCAUAUCACCAAUUAAUACGUUUGAUUUCAGAUCUACAACUUACUGCUUUGUAAACUUCGCCGAGGUAAAAUGAAACCAUUUGGCUACUUGAACUGAUCUACAUUACAUAGAUUUUUCCUAUUGACAUUUGCAGUAGAUAACAUGUCAGAAAUGAAAGUGAUGAAACAAUACAUCUUCCAUAUUCUGAAUUGGCAUAAUGCUAAAUACAACAGAAGCUAAUUUUUUAGAGACUGUGAAAUAUAAUUUUUUUUAGUUCAAGUAUAUUAUAGCAAGUGAGAGCUAUUAAGAAUAGAGCUUUCUCUGCAGUAGUAAAAUGCAACCAGAAUGUUUGCAUAUACUGGAAUUAAAAGAUUAGUUUUGCAACAUAAUUCAUUUUUCUAACUCUGAUAUUAGUUUAAGGAUUUAAUAAAAUAUAAGUAGAUUGUUCUUAAUUGAAAUAUUUUAUAUAUACUUAAUUCUUUUCGAAGGGUGAAACUUUAUUUUAAGUUUUUUUAAAUAUAAGAUUAAAUAAAUAACACAUUUUAGCAAAUUAUGUGCUGUCAUGAAAGAUAAGGGAAUUCAUGGUAACUUGUAUUUAAAAUUCUGUAACUUUGGGUUGGGUAAAGAUAUACUUAAAAUAAAGCAUUCCCUUUGUAAUUCUAAUGCAUUCUCAACAUAUGGGUAUUAAAUAACAUGAAAAAAAGUUUAUAUAAAUGUUAAAUUACUUUAGAACUAUUUCCUAGAUUUAAAAAUACUAAUGCAGUAUAUUAUAAUAGUAGCUUUGAAAUUUUGAUAUUGGCUUGAAACUUAACUGUAGUGGUACCUAUAUUAACGUAUUUAUGUCUCUUAUUUUUUUGCAGCAAGGAGUAAAUAAUGCUGAAAAAUUUGACUAUGUCAUGCAGUUUUUGAAUAAGAUGGCUGGUAAUGAAUAUGUUGGAUUCAGUAAUGCAACGUGAGUGUUUUAAAUACUGUUUUGUUACGUAAAAACACACAACUGUAUUUAGAAUUGAUCCACUCUCUUUUCAUUGGAGGGAAAUGAAUGAUUUCUAAAUUACCUGACAGAAACACUUAAAAAUACUUUAAAUAGUUUUGACAAAUUUCUUACAGGUAAUCAUACAAUCAGAAGAGACCCCAAGUUUAUCUCAAAUUACUGGUGCUUAUUCAGUUUUAUCUUUGCUUGUAAUACCUGUCUUACCUCUCUUCUAUUUCUGUUCCAGGCUAUCUGGAUUUUUACCCCAAUUUUUUAUUUUAAAAUUUGUGAGUCUAUAG